GUAAACUUCCCAAAAAAACGUGUAUGGUGUAAUGGUGUAUGGCAUAUGGUGCAAUGGUGUAAAGUGUAUGGUGCUAUGGUGUAUGGUGUAAGGAGAAUGGUGUAAUGGUGUAUGAGGAAUGGUGUGAUUGUGUAACGUGCGAUCGGGAAUGGUGUGAAUGAACGGUGUACAACAUUUCAUUGGUUGAAAACGAAGUUCUUUUUAUUUUAAUUUUC
rnacentral:lncRNA from 1 species